UUUUAUUUUUCACAAGAGUAUAAUGAAGUUAAUUAAAACCCAUCCGUUUGGUUCGGGGUUAAGAAAAAACUAGUUAUUUCAGGGAUAGGGUUAAGUUCAGGGUUAAGCUGGGGUUAGAGUAUUUUUGUGUUUGGUUGGAGGUUAGAGUUAGUCCAGAAUAGUGAAAAAUAGUAUUUGGUUAGAGUAUGUGGGAUAAGAAGGAUAGUGAAUUAUUAUGAAUAGAAAAUAGUGUUUGGUUGGGGUUUGGUGGGGUUAGCUAACCUAGAAUAGCCAAUUUGAGGUGGAAUUAGCUAACCCCACCUAUUUUUGGGGUGUUUGGGGAUAAUAUGGGGGUUAAGGGGUUAUUCCACCCCUUAACCCCCAACCAAACAAAGGAAAUUAAUAGGGUAGAAUUUUCAUUUCACUACAAACAAGUUAUAAAUUUCUUAAUCAAUAAUGAAUAAUGUGUGGAUUAUUCAAAUCUUCUUGUGGCUGUAAACUCACAAGGGAUGUUUGAUUGCAUGUAGUUGCAAUUGUACUACAGUUGUAACUAUGUGCAAAUUCAAAUCCAGCAUUUGAUUCGAUAUGUUUGAAUCCAAUUGUUGCAGUUGAAAUUGUAAGAGGAGCGCAGUUGGAAUAAUGUGCAAAUUAAUUGACAAAAAUAACUUUAAACAAGAGAUAAGCUUACCUCCUUAAUAUUUUUCUUUUUUUAUUUUGAAGGUAAUCACACAACCAAUACAUAUAAAGUGAUAAAAUUUUACAAAUACACUUCUCAACUAUAUGCAAUCAAACGAAUUAUUUAUAAUUACAGCACUUUUUAGUGCUUCCAUCCGAACGAGACACGUAUAGUUAUAACUACCGUAUUUUCAACUGCACUGUAUUUUUAAUUACAUUAAACCAAAUGGUCCCUAAGAUG
rnacentral:lncRNA from 1 species